rnacentral:rRNA from 1 species
ACGAGGGGAGCUAGCGUUGUUCGGAAUUACUGGGCGUAAAGCGCGCGUAGGCGGUUUUUUAAGUCAGAGGUGAAAGCCCGGGGCUCAACCCCGGAAUAGCCUUUGAAACUGGAAAACUAGAAUCUUGGAGAGGUCAGUGGAAUUCCGAGUGUAGAGGUGAAAUUCGUAGAUAUUCGGAAGAACACCAGUGGCGAAGGCGACUGACUGGACAAGUAUUGACGCUGAGGUGCGAAAGCGUGGGGAGCAAACAGG